AUAUAAUUUGGUUAUGGUUAAAAAAUUAGCUACAUUAUUAAAUAACACAUGCAAAUACCUGUAAACCCGUAAAUCUACAUAUAAUUUCUAGAAGAAAACAAUUCUUUAUAUUAAUAAGCAUUAUAAUAAAAAUUACGCCUGCAGUGAAAAAUACUGAUAAAAUUAUGAAAAUAAGAUACGGUAAAUAAUAAAAAGACUGACAAAAUUCGUGCCAGCAGCCGCGGUUAAACGAAAAGUCUAAGCUAAUUUCUACGGAGCUAUGAAACAAAAAAUUGAUAAUAAAAACAAAAAAAAGGUACAAUUUUAUAAACAAAUAAAUUAAAUUAUCUAUAUAAACACUCAACAAAGUUAAAACCAAAACAAGGAUUAGAUACCCUUCUAUUCUUAACCUCACCACCCCUCUCCUGGCACUACGAGUACAUACUUAAAACCUAAGAACUUGGCGGUGUCUCAACAUACUAGGGGAGCCUGUUUUAUAACCGAUAAUCCACGAUUCUUUUCUACCUAGAUUUGAUAUUACAGCUUGUGUACUGCCGUCUAAAGUCUACAUAGCAAUAUUGUAAACUAAAAAGAUAAACUCUCACACGUCAGGUCGAAGUGCAGCCUACAUCUAGGUCAAAAUGGGCUACAUUUUUUAAAUAUUCGGACCAUCAUAUAAUAGUGAUACAAAGAUGGACUUAGCAGUAAAUUAUGAUUAACUUACAUAAUUGAAGAUGCAAAAUGAGACAUGCACACAUCGCCCGUCGCUCUUUCUGAAAAGAAAGAUAAGUCGUAACAUAGUUAGUGUAAUGGAAAUUGCACUUAUCGAAAU
rnacentral:ncRNA from 1 species